rnacentral:rRNA from 1 species
AGAGUUUGAUCAUGGCUCAGAACGAACGCUGGCGGCGUGGAUAAGACAUGCAAGUCGAACGAUCACUAUUGGGUAGCAAUAUUCGGUAGUGGGAGUGGCGCAAGGGUGCGUAACACGUGGGUAAUUUGCCGUAAAGUCUGGGAUAACUUGCUGAAAGGCGAGCUAAUACCGGAUGUGAUUGCUGGGGGGCAUCCUCUGGCACUUAAAGUCGGGGACCGUAAGGCCUGACACUUUUCGAUAAGCCCGCGGCCUAUCAGCUAGUUGGUGAGGUAACGGCUCACCAAGGCUAAGACGGGUAGCUGGUCUGAGAGGACGACCAGCCACACUGGAACUGAGACACGGUCCAGACACCUACGGGUGGCAGCAGUCGAGAAUUUUUCUCAAUGGGGGAAACCCUGAAGGAGCGACGCCGCGUGGGGGAUGAAUGGCUUCGGCCCGUAAACCCCUGUCAUUUGCGAUCAAACCUUACGACCUAACACGUCGUAAGCUGAUAGUAGCGAAAGAGAAGACGUUCGGCCCC